UGGAAAGCGAUUAGUGAUGAAUGUACUGAGGUUUGUCAACAUUUGUGAUUUAGAACAGAAGAAGAGCUAAGACAUGUUUCAUCAGUUCUCUUUCAAAACAAAAUAUUAACAACAAUGGUAAAAAUUUCGAAAGUAGUUGUUUGUGGUAUGAAAGGAGUAGGUAAAACUUCAAUUAUAGAACAAGUUAUAUAUGGACAUGCUAAUACAAGAAUGGAUUUACAUCCGACAAUAGAAGACAUUUAUGUUGCUAACAUAGAAUCUGAUAAAGGUACGAGAGAAAAAAUAAGAUUUUAUGAUACUGCUGGCAUAGAGUUUUCACAAAUUUCCACAGCAAAUGGUACAACUAAUCAGCAAUUACCUAGGCAUUAUUUAAUAAUGGCAGAUGGAUAUAUCUUAGUCUACGAUACAAGUAAGAGUAUAUCACUGGAUGUUUUGAUGUCAAUAAAGAAAGAUAUUGAUAAAAAUAAAGAUAAGAAGGAGGUCACAAUUAUUGUUAUUGGUAAUAAUUUUAAAGAAGAAAUGACUGAAGAAAUGGAAUUGAUAAUAAGUAAAGCCAAUCAAUGGUGUAUGAGAGAAAAAAUAAAACAUUUUGCUGCAUCGUCUUUGAAACGGACAAGCUUAUAUGAACCAUUUGUGUAUAUUACAAGCAAAUUAACACCACCUCCAAGUAAAAGUGGUUUUACUCCCUUAUCUAUGGGAAGAAAAGUGAUGAAAGAUUCAUAAAAUCUAACAGAUAUUAUGUUUUGAACUAUUGAAUCACAAAUUAUUAUUAGGAGCAACGUAUCAAUAUUAAACUUCUCGUUAAAUUGAAAAAAAAAACUCUGGCUGAGUGCUAUAAAUUGUUGCAAGAGGCCUAUGGGGACAAUUCUUUAUCUCGUGCGCGUGUUUUUUAGUGGUGUAAGCGCUUUAGUGAGGGCCAAGAGACCAAACCAAAUUUAAGGCAAUGUUUAUAGUUUUUUUUCGACAUUAACAGUAUCUUGAUGACUGAAUGGGUUCCAGAGGGUCAGACUGUUAACCAGACUUACUAUUUGUCAGUUUUUGCAACACUGCGAGAACGAAUUCGUAAAAAACAUAACGCGCUAUCUGUGAAGCAGUAUUUGGCCAGUAAGCACACUCCAGUGCUCGAACAUUCACUGUACUCACCAGUUUGGCACCUGGAACUUUUUUUUUGUUUCUGAAGAUAAAAUCUGUUUUGAAAGGGACCAGAUUUGAGUCGAUGGAAGCGGCAGGGCUCCGAAAGACAUUCACCAUAGAAGACUAGAAGCACUACUUCAAUGGAGAAAACGUAUGGCAAGGCGUGUUGCAGGGGAGGGCAGUAUAUUGAAGGGGAGCAUCUGAAUGUAGAUUAAUUUUCAAUUUUGUUCAAUGAUUUUAUAAUAUACUCAAGCUUUGAAUAGAGUAGAAGAAAUAAAAA